rnacentral:rRNA from 1 species
UACGGGGGGGGGCAAGCGUUGUUCGGAAUUACUGGGCGUAAAAGGCUCGUAGGCGGCCAACUAAGUCAGACGUGAAAUCCCUCGGCUUAACCCGGAAAGGUCAGCCGAUACUGCGGGGCUAGAGUGCAGAAGGGGCAACUGGAAUUCUCGGUGUAGCGGUGAAAUGCGUAGAUAUCGAGAGGAACACCUGCGGCGAAGGCGGCUCGCUGGGACGUUACUGACGCUGAGACGCGAAAGCGUGGGGAGCAAACAGG